UUGCUUUUGGGAGAAAUAUCCCUGGUUUAAUUUAUUUUCUGGGUGUGCUACUGAACACCAAGUCUUUAUUUUUUUUGGAGCAGAAAAAAUGUACGCUCCUGCAAUCCUUUCCCUGAAUGCAAAAUUUACUGGAAGUUCACAUGAUGCAUAUGUCAUUAGACAAUCAGGGAUAUGGCAGAGAUUAAGAUCAAGUCAACGAGCAGACAUGUGGUUAUUGGGAGACCGUGGAUAUCCUUGCACCCCCUGGCUCAUGACUCCUUACCGUAAUCCCAGGCCAGGACCACAGAUGGCAUUUAACUCCGCGCUUACUGCCACUAGGCAGCUGGUGGAGCGCACAAUUGGUGUCCUUAAAGGGCGGUUUCGUGUGCUCCACCGCACUGGUGGCGACAUCAUGUAUUCGCCGGAGAUGGCAAGUAAAAUAGUGGUCCUGUGCGCAAUACUACAUAAUAUCGCGGUAAGGAGUAGUGUAGAGCUUCCUCAGGCAGAGGAAUUGCCUGAUGAGGAGCCAGGGGUUGGUCGACGCUUCGG